GGGGCAAUGGAAUUUAUAUUUUGAUAUGGAUUUUUUUGUUUUGGCAAGAGCAUGAGAGCUUUUACUGGGCAAGAAGACAAGAGAUGGAGAGUCCAGCCGGGCCUGCGCUUAAGUGCGCGGUCUUGCUAGGCUUGUAAGUUUCUUUCUUGCUAUUCCAAACGGUGAGAGAUUUCUGUGCUUUUGUUAUAGGACAAUUAAAACCGUUUCAAUACAACACACUGUGGAGUUUUCAUAUCUUUGCAACUUUUUCUUUGGGCAUUCGAGCAAUCGGGGCCCAGAGGUAACAAACACAAACAAUUUUAUCUAUUCAUUAAAUUUUUGUCAAAAACAAGAAUUUUCGUAACUGGAAAUUUUAAAAUAUUAAAAACUUUCAACAACGGAUCUCUUGGUUCUCGCAUCGAUGAAGAACGCAGCGAAAUGCGAUACGUAAUGUGAAUUGCAGAAUUCCGUGAAUCAUCGAAUCUUUGAACGCACAUUGCGCCCCUUGGUAUUCCAGGGGGCAUGCCUGUUUGAGCGUCAUUUCCUUCUCAAACAUUCUGUUUGGUAGUGAGUGAUACUCUUUGGAGUUAACUUGAAAUUGCUGGCCUUUUCAUUGGAUGUUUUUUUUCCAAAGAGAGGUUUCUCUGCGUGCUUGAGGUAUAAUGCAAGUACGGUCGUUUUAGGUUUUACCAACUGCGGCUAAUCUUUUUUUAUACUGAGCGUAUUGGAACGUUAUCGAUAAGAAGAGAGCGUCUAGGCGAACAAUGUUCUUAAAGUUUGACCUCAAAUCAGGUAGGAGUACCCGCUGAACUUAAGCAUACAAAAGCGGGAGAGAGAAA
rnacentral:rRNA from 1 species